GACCAAAGGGGGCGAGCGUAAGCAGCUCUCACCGAAGGGGGAGCCUGCGUCCGAUUAGCUAGUUGGUGGGGUAAUGGCCUACCAAGGCGACGAUCGGUAGCCGGCCUGAGAGGGCGAUCGGCCACACUGGAACUGAGACACGGUCCAGACUCCUACGGGAGGCAGCAGUGGGGAAUAUUGCGCAAUGGGCGAAAGCCUGACGCAGCGACGCCGCGUGGGUGAUGAAGGCCUUCGGGUCGUAAAGCCCUGUCUGGUGGAACGGAACGCCUGGCGGCCAAUACCCGCUGGGUUUGACGGUACCACCGAAGGAAGCCCCGGCUAACUACGUGCCAGCAGCCGCGGUAAGACGUAGGGGGCGAGCGUUGUUCGGAUUUACUGGGCGUAAAGCGCGCGUAGGCGGCCAGAUAAGUCGGGUGUGAAAGCCCUCGGCUCAACCGAGGUUCCGCAUCCGAUACUGCUUGGCUGGAGUCUAGGAGAGGAGAGCGGAAUUCCCAGUGUAGCGGUGAAAUGCGUAGAUAUUGGGAGGAACACCCGUGGCGAAGGCGGCUCUCUGGACUAGUACUGACGCUGAGGCGCGAAAGCUAGGGGAGCGAACGGGAUUAGAUACCCCGGUAGUCCUAGCCGUAAACGAUGGGCACUAGGUGUGGGAGGUAUUGACCCCUUCCGCGCCGAAGCUAACGCAUUAAGUGCCCCGCCUGGGGAGUACGGCCGCAAGGCUAAAACUCAAAGGAAUUGACGGGGGCCCGCACAAGCGGUGGAGCAUGUGGUUCAAUUCAACGCAACGCGAAGAACCUUACCAGGGCUUGACAUCCCACGAACCUGCCUGAA
rnacentral:rRNA from 1 species